GGGUGACGAGCGGCGGACGGGUGAGUAAUGUCUGGGAAACUGCCUGAUGGAGGGGGAUAACUACUGGAAACGGUAGCUAAUACCGCAUAACCUCGCAAGAGCAAAGAGGGGGACCUUCGGGCCUCUCGCCAUCAGAUGUGCCCAGAUGGGAUUAGCUAGUAGGUGAGGUAAUGGCUCACCUAGGCGACGAUCCCUAGCUGGUCUGAGAGGAUGACCAGCCACACUGGAACUGAGACACGGUCCAGACUCCUACGGGAGGCAGCAGUGGGGAAUAUUGCACAAUGGGCGCAAGCCUGAUGCAGCCAUGCCGCGUGUGUGAAGAAGGCCUUCGGGUUGUAAAGCACUUUCAGCGGGGAGGAAGGCGGUAAGGUUAAUAACCUUAUCGAUUGACGUUACCCGCAGAAGAAGCACCGGCUAACUCCGUGCCAGCAGCCGCGGUAAUACGGAGGGUGCAAGCGUUAAUCGGAAUGACUGGGCGUAAAGCGCACGCAGGCGGUCUGUUAAGUUGGAUGUGAAAUCCCCCGGGCUUAACCUGGGAACUGCAUUCAAAACUGACAGGCUAGAGUCUUGUAGAGGGGGGUAGAAUUCCAGGUGUAGCGGUGAAAUGCGUAGAGAUCUGGAGGAAUACCGGUGGCGAAGGCGGCCCCCUGGACAAAGACUGACGCUCAGGUGCGAAAGCGUGGGGAGCAAACAGGAUUAGAUACCCCUGGUAGUCCACGCUGUAAACGAUGUCGAUUUGGAGGUUGUGCCCUUGAGGCGUGGCUUCCGGAGCUAACGCGUUAAAUCGACCGCCUGGGGAGUACGGCCGCAAGGUUAAAACUCAAAUGAAUUGGACCGGGGGCCCGCACAAGCGGUGGAGCAUGUGGUUUAAUUCGAUGCAACGCGAAGAACCUUACCUACUCUUGACAUCCAGAGAACUUUAGCAGAGAUGCUUUGGUGCCUUCGGGAACUUCUGAGACAGGUGCUGCAUGGCUGUCGUCAGCUCGUGUUGUGAAAUGUUGGGUUAAGUCCCGCAACGAGCGCAACCCUUAUCCUUUGUUGCCAGCGAUUCGGUCGGGAACUCAAAGGAGACUGCCGGUGAUAAACCGGAGGAAGGUGGGGAUGACGUCAAGUCAUCAUGGCCCUUACGAGUAGGGCUACACACGUGCUACAAUGGCGUAUACAAAGAGAAGCGACCUCGCGAGAGCAAGCGGACCUCAUAAAGUACGUCGUAGUCCGGAUUGGAGUCUGCAACUCGACUCCAUGAAGUCGGAAUCGCUAGUAAUCGUAGAUCAGAAUGCUACGGUGAAUACGUUCCCGGGCCUUGUACACACCGCCCGUCACACCAUGGGAGUGGGUUGCAAAAGAAGUAGGUAGCUUAACCUUCGGGAGGGCGCUUACCACU
rnacentral:rRNA from 1 species